rnacentral:rRNA from 1 species
UACGGGGGGGGCAAGCGUUGUUCGGAAUUACUGGGCGUAAAGGGCUCGUAGGUGGCCAACUAAGUCAGACGUGAAAUCCCUCAGCUUAACUGGGGAACUGCGUCUGAUACUGGAUGGCUUGAGUUUGGGAGAGGGAUGCGGAAUUCCAGGUGUAGCGGUGAAAUGCGUAGAUAUCUGGAGGAACACCGGUGGCGAAGGCGGCAUCCUGGACCAACACUGACACUGAUGUGCGAAAGCCAGGGGAGCAAACGGG